UUCCUGGUGGUCCAUUGGUUAAGACUCUGUGCUUCCAAUGCAGAGGGCACAGGUUUGAUCCCUGGUCAGGGAA
rnacentral:tRNA from 1 species